rnacentral:rRNA from 1 species
UUGAACGCUGGCGGCGUGCCUAACACAUGCAAGUCGAGCGGUAACAGGUGUAGCAAUACAUGCUGACGAGCGGCGGACGGGUGAGUAACGCUUGGGAAUCUGCCUGAUAGUGGGGGACAACCCGGGGAAACUCGGGCUAAUACCGCAUACGCACUACGGUGGAAAGCCGGGGACCGCAAGGCCUGGCGCUAUCAGAUGAGCCCAAGUCGGAUUAGCUAGUUGGUAGGGUAACGGCCUACCAAGGCGACGAUCCGUAACUGGUCUGAGAGGACGACCAGUCACACCGGAACUGAGACACGGUCCGGACUCCUACGGGAGGCAGCAGUGGGGAAUAUUGCGCAAUGGCCGAAAGGCUGACGCAGCAACACCGUGUGGGUGACGAAGGCCCUAGGGUCGUAAAGCCCUGUUGUUGGGGACGAAGGGCGAAGGGUUAAUAGCCCCUAGCCUGACGGUACCUUCGAGGAAG